rnacentral:rRNA from 1 species
UAGGGAAUCUUCCGCAAUGGACGCAAGUCUGACGGAGCAACGCCGCGUGAGUGAAGAAGGAUUUCGGUUCGUAAAACUCUGUUGUUAGAGAAGAACAGCGCAUAGAGUAACUGUUAUGCGUGUGACGGUAUCUAACCAGAAAGCCACGGCUAACUACGUGCCAGCAGCCGCGGUAAUACGUAGGUGGCAAGCGUUGUCCGGAUUUAUUGGGCGUAAAGCGAGCGCAGGCGGUCAAUUAAGUCUGAUGUGAAAGCCCCCGGCUCAACCGGGGAGGGUCAUUGGAAACUGGUUGACUUGAGUGCAGAAGAGGAGAGUGGAAUUCCAUGUGUAGCGGUGAAAUGCGUAGAUAUAUGGAGGAACACCAGUGGCGAAGGCGACUCUCUGGUCUGUAACUGACGCGGAGGUUCGAAAGCGUGGGGAGCGAACAGG